rnacentral:lncRNA from 1 species
CCGGAGAGUCGAUGGAAUCCAGGUCGCGGAGUACGAUGCGGGAGAGGAACAUCAGAUGCGUGGGCCGAGGGAGACGGAGCGGACUGCUGAUCCGAUCACACAGGCGCCAUAAACCUGCAGCGACGGGCGGCAAGGUGGCGGGCUAGGCGUCGAGGUGACGGGCUAGGGUUUCGUCGCUGGGAGGGAACAGCCGGAGGAUGGAUUGAGGACUCGAGAGAAGC